rnacentral:rRNA from 1 species
GACGAACGCUUUCGGCGUGCUUAACACAUGCAAGUCGAACGGAAAGGCCCUGCUUUUGUGGGGUGCUCGAGUGGCGAACGGGUGAGUAACACGUGAGUAACCUGCCCUUGACUUUGGGAUAACUUCAGGAAACUGGGGCUAAUACCGGAUAGGAGCUCCUGCUGCAUGGUGGGGGUUGGAAAGUUUCGGCGGUUGGGGAUGGACUCGCGGCUUAUCAGCUUGUUGGUGGGGUAGUGGCUUACCAAGGCUUUGACGGGUAGCCGGCCUGAGAGGGUGACCGGCCACAUUGGGACUGAGAUACGGCCCAGACUCCUACGGGAGGCAGCAGUGGGGAAUAUUGCACAAUGGGCGGAAGCCUGAUGCAGCAACGCCGCGUGCGGGAUGACGGCCUUCGGGUUGUAAACCGCUUUCGCCUGUGACGAAGCGUGAGUGACGGUAAUGGGUAAAGAAGCACCGGCUAACUACGUGCCAGCAGCCGCGGUGAUACGUAGGGUGCGAGCGUUGUCCGGAUUUAUUGGGCGUAAAGGGCUCGUAGGUGGUUGAUCGCGUCGGAAGUGUAAUCUUGGGGCUUAACCCUGAGCGUGCUUUCGAUACGGGUUGACUUGAGGAACGUAGGGGAGAAUGGAAUUCCUGGUGGAGCGGUGGAAUGCGCAGAUAUCAGGAGGAACACCAGGGGCGAAGGCGGUUCUCUGGGCCUUUCCUGACGCUGAGGAGCGAAAGCGUGGGGAGCGAACAGGCUUAGAUACCCUGGUAGUCCACGCUGUAAACGGUGGGUACUAGGUGUGGGGUCCAUUCCACGGGUUCCGUGCCGUAGCUAACGCUUUAAGUACCCCGCCUGGGGAGUACGGCCGCAAGGCUAAAACUCAAAGGAAUUGACGGGGCCCCGCACAAGCGGCGGAGCAUGCGGAUUAAUUCGAUGCAACGCGUAGAACCUUACCUGGGUUUGACAUGGAUCGGGAGUGCUCAGAGAUGGGUGUGCCUCUUUUGGGGUCGGUUCACAGGUGGUGCAUGCCUGUCGUCAGCUCGUGUCGUGAGAUGUUGGGUUAAGUCCCGCAACGAGCGCAACCCUUGUUCACUGUUGCCAGCACGUUAUGGUGGGGACUCAGUGGAGACCGCCGGGGUCAACUCGGAGGAAGGUGGGGAUGACGUCAAGUCCUCAUGCCCCUUAUGUCCAGGGCUUCACGCAUGCUACAAUGGCUGGUACAGAGAGUGGCGAGCCUGUGAGGGUGAGCGAAUCUCGGAAAGCCGGUCUCAGUUCGGAUUGGGGUCUGCAACUCGACCUCAUGAAGUCGGAGUCGCUAGUAAUCGCAGAUCAGCAACGCUGCGGUGAAUACGUUCCCGGGGCUUGUACACACCGCCCGUCAAGUCAUGAAAGUUGGUAACACCCGAAGCCGGUGGCCUAACCGUUGUGGGGGAGCCGUCGAAGGUGGGACUGGUGAUUAGGACUAA